rnacentral:piRNA from 1 species
UGGAUUCCUUCCAGAGUUAAUCAUAAUGUCU